rnacentral:rRNA from 1 species
ACUGCUCAGUAACACGUAGUCAACCUAACUCGUGGACGUGGAUAACCUCGGGAAACUGAGAAUAAACCACGAUAGAUCAUAGUGCCUGGAAUGGCUUAUGGUCCAAACAGUUUACUGCCAUGGGAUGGGACUGCGGCCUAUCAGCUUGUUGGUGAGGUAAUGGCCCACCAAGGCGAUUACAGGUACGGGCUCUGAGAGGAGAAGCCCGGAGAUGGGUACUGAGACACGGACCCAGGCCCUAUGGGGCGCAGCAGGCGAGAAACCUUAGCAAUGUGCGAAAGCACGACUGGGUCAGUCCGAGUGAUUCCUGAUAAAGGAGUCUUUUGCUUGUCCUUAAAGCACAGGUGAAUAAGGGGUGGGCAAGUCUGGUGUCAGCCGCCGCGGUAAUACCAGCACCUCGAGUGGUCAGGACGUUUAUUGGGCCUAAAGCAUCCGUAGCCGGCUCUGCAAGCCUUCGGUUAAAUCCACCUGCUCAACAGAUGGGCCGCUGGAGAUACUACAGAGCUAGGGAGUGGGAGAGGCAGACGGUAUUCAGUGGGUAGGGGUAAAAUCCUCUGAUCCAUUGAGGACCACCAGUGGCGAAGGCGGUCUGCCAGAACACGUUCGACGGUGAGGGAUGAAAGCUGGGGGAGCAAACCGGAUUAGAUACCCGGGUAGUCCCAGCUGUAAACGAUGCAAACUCGGUGAUGCAUUGGCUUAUGGCCAAUGCAGUGCCGCAGGGAAGCCGUUAAGUUUGCCGCCUGGGAAGUACGGACGCAAGUCUGAAACUUAAAGGAAUUGGCGGGGGAGCAC